UGAAGAAGAAGGAGAAGUACCACACAAGACAAGUUAUAUUUCAAACGUGUGCAUGAUAUAAACAGAGCAGAGACUCUGGGGAUCUCAAUUUCAUCUCAGAUUCAAAUAUCUAUAAUUCUCUGCAGACGAAGACAAAGAAGGAAGAAGAAGGUGGAGGAGUUCUACAGGGGCGUUCUGAGACCACAUGAUGAUGAAGAUUCUCAAUUUUGUCUCUGAGAUACAGAUCAUGUGUUCUCAGGUCGCCCCUGUUGUACUUUCCUCUACCAUUGUGUAUUUAGAGAAUAGCUAAUCAGAUGUAGUACCUUCCCAUCCAGGGAGCACAUAUGUGAACUUUAGAUCAAAAGUACAUGCUGCUAACACAUUCUGUGUCAAAAAUUCCUUCCUACCACGGUAUCUAGGAGCAUCUAAAGAAGGCACAUUGACUUGUAUAUGUGUUCCAUCAAUAGCACUGACACAAUCCUUAAAAUAUGGGAAGAAUUUUUAUCUUUUUCAAUUUCAGGAGGGAUAGUUGAGCCAUUAAGUUGAAGAAGAAAUUUUUCUUCUAAGUCAAUGAUAGCUGUCAAAACUUGAUGAAAAUGGUAACUAAUUGUCUCACUAGAACGCCUAAACUAAAAAUUCACUUCACGAUUUUUUGCAUUGUGUGUCAAUAUAUAUAGAGUUUUUGCAACCAUUUCUUCCACACUUGACCAUCGCGUGGGUUGCAGGCCAGCCUCUCUUUGUAAUAUACCACAUAAUUCUAAAAAAUUUCUAAGAGUCAUUCUAAUGAUAUUUUGACUAGAGGGACAAUCA